rnacentral:rRNA from 1 species
UACGUAGGGGGCAAGCGUUGUCCGGAAUCAUUGGGCGUAAAGAGCGUGUAGGCGGCUCGAUAAGUCUGCUGUGAAAGUCCAGGGCUCAACCCUGGAAGGCCGGUGGAAACUGUCGGGCUAGAGUCCGGAAGAGGCGAGUGGAAUUCCCGGUGUAGCGGUGAAAUGCGCAGAUAUCGGGAGGAACACCAAUGGCGAAGGCAGCUCGCUGGGACGGUACUGACGCUGAGACGCGAAAGCGUGGGGAGCGAACGGG